rnacentral:rRNA from 1 species
UACGUAGGGAGCAAGCGUUGUCCGGAAUCAUUGGGCGUAAAGCGCGCGUAGGCGGCCCUGUAAGUCCGUUGUGAAAGUCAAAGGGCUCAACCUUUGAAAGCCGAUGGAUACUGCAGGGCUAGAGUCCGGAAGAGGCGAGUGGAAUUCCUGGUGUAGCGGUGGAAAUGCGCAGAUAUCAGGAGGAACACCAAUAGCGAAGGCAGCUCGCUGGGACGGUACUGACGCUAAGGCGCGAAAGCGUGGGAGCGAACGAGG